rnacentral:rRNA from 1 species
UACGAAGGGGGCUAGCGUUGCUCGGAAUCACUGGGCGUAAAGCGCACGUAGGUGGAUCGCUAAGUCAGGGGUGAAAUCCUGGAGCUCAACUCCAGAACUGCCUUUGAUACUGGCAAUCUCGAGUCCGGGAGAGGUGAGUGGAACUGCGAGUGUAGAGGUGAAAUUCGUAGAUAUUCGCAAGAACACCAGUGGCGAAGGCGGACUCACUGGCCCGGUACU